GACGAAACACUGGAACUCUCCAGAAUAAAUUGGUACCUGGGUCUCUUCUGAAGUGAGCUGCUCUUAGGAGCUUCAAAUGAGGGUCUUUGAAGCCACAUGAAAAUUGAUGAGUGGUUGUAACAUCCAAGCUACCAAAUCAGACACACUUGUAAUUGUUCCCAAUCCCCUCCAGCACCAUCCUGCAUUCUGCUUCCAAGAUACAUGAGCUUUCUGAAGAGCUGGUGAGAAUGCUGAAACUUCCUGGCCUUGGUUUCCCAUCUGGUAAAAUGAGGAAGACCAAAGCUUAACUCUCACAAGGAAUAUGCAGCAGGGAGAAGUCUAAGAGACAAAAUCAAUAAGGCUAGAGAAGAUUGGCUUUCUCUGGAUACUGUACCUUAUCCAUGUGAACAGGAGAUUUUAUAGUGACUUGUUUCAGUAUAAACAAAGAGGACUGGAAUAACUGAUUGCUGAGGACUCCAAUCAUGGCAGCACUGUAUGAUAUGAAUGUAAAAUAAGCAUGACUGACUGCAACAAGAAGGCAGCCUGAAUCUACCUGAAGAAUCCUCAGGCCAUCCGAUUUGAUGAUAUAGUCAGUAGGAUUGUUUGGUUUGCUAGUAACAUAAAUUCAAAGCUUCAGGAAGGAGACUGGGCACAGCGGCUCAUGCCUGUAAUCCCAGCACUUUGGGAGGCCAAGGCGAGUGGAUCAUUUGAGGCCAGCAGUUCUAGACCAGCCUGGCCAAUAUGGUGAAACGCCGUCUCUACUAAAAAUACAAAAAUCAGCUGGGCAUGGUGGCACAUGCUUAUAAUCCCAUCUACUCAGGAGGCUGAGGCAUAAGAAUCGCUUGAACCCAAGAGGUGGAGGUUGCAGUGAGCCAAGAUUGUGCCACUAUACUCCAGCCUGGGUGACAGAGCAAGACUCUGUCUCAAACAAAACAAAACAAAACAAAACAAAACAAAACAAAAACAACAAAACACACACACACAAACACCAAAGCUUCAGGAAAAAAAAGGCAGACUAAAUUAUAUGGUAAGUAGGCUGUUUCAUUGAACUGAAAUGCAAAAGUAAACCGGAGAUGUAAGUUGUCACAAGAUCUCUCUUCUUGGUUCUCUUUCCACUGCUCAAUCCAUACAGUGAGUAAAAUUUUACGUCUUAACUCUCUCCUGCUCCUCAUUCCUAGCUUGGCCCACUCAAGACCAGACUUGAAUUAAACAUCAAAAUCAUGGUUUCUAGAGCCCCAGUUUCUGGAUGAGAUAGGGUAGAGGAAUGACAGAGAAUGAUUCCCAGAGAAAGGGGUGUUGUUUGUUAAAGGCAAAACAUGCUUGCAAUAGACAUAGAAAACUUUGGAGAGGGACAGUCUAUGGUAGUUAUUUAAGAAGAGUUACUUAGUAUUUCAUGAAUUAUGAGUCAGACUUUUUGAGUCAAACUUAUGUUAAGAGAGGGUUUCAUUUAUGACAAGCAAUAGUUGGCAUUGUUUAAUCCUGUGGUAUAGUAGAAAGAACAGCUUUGAAAUUUGAUAGGCCUAGCUUUCAAUGUAAGUUCUGCCACUUCUGGCUGAGUUUCACUGGAUAAGUGAUUUAACCUUUCUGUAAAAUGGGCAUAAUAAUAAUGCCCACCUUGUAAAGUUGCUUUGAGAAUUAAAGACAGAUGUACAAGAAUUGAGCACACUGGUACAUAAUUUUUUCUUCCUGCCCUUUUCCAGGGUUCAAAGGUGAAGUGGCAUAAUAAAUUAGAGAGGGGUGGAGAGGAAGAUUAAACCAGAUUUAGAAGUGUUGCAGUCUGGCACUGAGAUCUCUAGCUGUGGGGUCUUAGGCAAGUUACCGUAUCUCACUGUUUUUCAGUUUCCUGACAAACAAAAAAAAAGAGGUUCAGGACCGGGGGUUUCUAUUGCUUUUGGGAGGCCAAGGGUUCCCUAGAAGUGCUUAGGUAUUGCUGAGUGUGUGUGUGUGUGGUAGGAGGUAGUAUGGGGGGAGGAUAAAUAGCAAGGAAAGUACCAUUUGGUAGAAUUUCUCCUACCUCCCACCCCUCUUUUAAAAAUCUGUUUUAUAAAUUGAGGUUUUGUGUCAGAUUUGUAUUGGGGAAAGAAAAGGUUUGCUGUUUAAAAAAUUAAAAAGCAUCUUGAAAAAUACCAGAUGAGAUGCUCUCUCAAGUCUUUCUUGCUCUAAAACAUGAGGCUCUGCUAAAUGCCUUCCAUUGUUAAGGCCGAGCUACCCCCAGAGCCAGAGGCAGCCUGGACAUUUUCAGCAACCCAUUAAGUCAUCUAUUCUGGGACAGCAGGAAAAACAAACCCUACAAAGGGCAGUGGCUAAAACAGAAAGAGAGAGAGACUCAUCCAGCUUGUCCAGAAAACAAACCCAACACAUCCUCUCAAGAUGCAUCCUUAAUAUAAUAUAGGAAAUGUCAUCAGGACCAUAAAGUUGUCUCUUUCAAAGUGGAUGAACAACCCGGCGUUGCUUAGAUGACAGCUUAGGGUUUCCCGGCUUCAACAGAGGACAGCUCAAGAGCCCAAAGCUGUCCUAAGUGGUCACCCUUACUAAAACAGUUGGCCCUGUGUGGUAACUGUGAAAACAUCUAUGUCUGUCAUAAGCCCCACCGAUGAUGGAUGAGUCUAAACAGAAGAUAUUCACAGGGGAAUAAGGGAUCUAGCUUGGGCAUUUUGUGCUCUGUUGAGCUAGGUAGGAAGCAGAAUGAAAAGCAGAUUAUUCUCUUGAUAAGAAAUGCAUUCUUAGAGCAACAACCACACGAGGAAAAGAAAGGCUCCAUUAUUUCUGUAAAGGAAGAUCACACACAGAUAAUUUAUAUAUUGAAGUCAGGUAUGCUGGAAGGCACCUUAAAGAUAAUCCAGUCUGGUAGUUUUCAAACUUUUUUGGAGUAGGUUUUCUAGCAGAAAGCUUAAAAAUGGGAUACAUUCAAAAAGUUUCACCAGAACAUUAAUUCAGGUUGAAGUAGGAAUGAGGGACUCAGCCCUGCCUGAUCUAUGCAACCACCUCCUUCUCUACCAUAACAUCCCUUGUAGGACAGACUCUCAAGACACCUCCAUGAAUCUUUGAGGGCUCCCAGGAACAGUUUAAAAAUCACUCAUUAGUCCUACCUUCCCUAUUUACAGAUGACAAAACUAAGCACAGAGAGGCCAAGUGAUCUGCCCAGAAUUCCAGGCAUACUGAAAAGGGAGACCAAAGCUAAAGCCAGGCCUCCUGAUGUCAAGCUCAGUGUUCUCAUUAUUAUAUAACAUGGGAUCAUUCCCAGAAGAUUUUUGAAACCACCUGCGGUCACCUCUUAGGAGUCACAUAGUUGGAUAUAAACUGCUUAAAGUCUCUGUGAAGUUUCUUUCUUUGCUUGUCUAAAGAAUUUCUGGAAGGAAGGAAGGAAUGGAAGAAGGGAGGAAGGGAGGUAGGGAGGCAUGCAGGGAGGAAGGGAG
rnacentral:lncRNA from 10 species